rnacentral:rRNA from 1 species
UGACCUGGGCUACACACGUGCUACAAUGGUUGGUACAACGAGUUGCGAGUCCGGUGACGGGCGAGCUAAUACUCUUAAAGCCAAUCUCAGUUCGGAUUGUAGGCUGCAACUCGCCUACAUGAAGUCGGAAUCGCUAGUAAUCGCGGAUCAGCACGCCGCGGUGAAUACGUUCCCGGGCCUU